AUUUUCAUAGUAUAAUAAAUUAUUUUUAACUUCCAAUUAAAAGAUCUAUAAAAUAGUGUAAAUA
rnacentral:tRNA from 1 species